CCUACGGGUGGCAGCAGUGAGGAAUAUUGGGCAAUGGAGGCACCUCUGAACCAGCCAUGCCGCGUGAGUGAAGACGGUUUUAGGAUUGUUAAGCUCUUUCGGAUGUGACGAUGAUGACGGUAGCAUCAAAAGAAGCCCCGGCUAACUUCGUGCCAGCAGCCGCGGUAAUACGAAGGGGGCAAGCGUUGUUCGGAAUUACUGGGCGUAAAGGGAGAGUAGGCGGUUUAGUAAGAUAGUGGUGAAGUCCCAGAGCUUAACUUUGGAAUUGCCAUUAUAACUAUUAGACUAGAAUUACAGAGAGGAUAGUGGAAUACCCAGUGUAGAGGUGAAAUUCGUAGAUAUUGGGUAGAACACCAGUGGCGAAGGCGACUAUCUGGCUGUACAUUGACGCUGAGGCUCGAAAGCAUGGGGAUCAAACAGGAUUAGAUACCCUAGUAGUC
rnacentral:rRNA from 1 species